UACGACUACAUAUCAGGCAUAUCAAUAAGCGGAGGAAAAGAAACUAACAAGGAUUCCCUUAGUAACGGCGAGUGAAGCGGGAAGAGCUCAAAUUUGAAAUCUUCAAGGUUUUACCUUGACGAAUUGUAGUUUAUAGAAGUGUUUUCUGUUGAAGUUUCGGCUAAAAGUUCUUUGGAAUAGGACAUCAUAGAGGGUGAGAAUCCCGUAUUUGACCGUUAUUUUCAGCUGUGUGAUACACUUUCAAAGAGUCGGAUUGUUUGGGAAUGCAGUCCAGAAUGGGUGGUAAAUUUCGUCUAAAGCUAAAUAUUGGCGAGAGACCGAUAGCGAACAAGUACCGUGAGGGAAAGAUGAAAAGAACCUUGAAAAGAGAGUUAAACAGUACGUGAAAUUGUCAAAAGGGAAGCGUUUGACACCAGUGUUGUUUUUCCGAAAAUCAAUUACGAAUGUUUUGUUUUUGAGGAGUUAUGACUUCAUCGGCUUGCUCCUUUCUUUACGAAACUUUCUUAAUGCACUUUUCGGUUAACAAGUCAACAUCAAUUUCUUUUGUUGUAAAAGGGUAUGAGGAAGGUGGCUUUCUUUUCGGAGAAAGUGUUUAUAGCCUUGUGCCUCUGCAAUCGGAGAGAUUGAGGUCUGCAGCGUAGAUCCUUCGGGGUUAGAUACAUUUGUGCUAAGUUAUAGUUUUUCAUAGACAACAUGUUGACUAUGAUUAAUCAUGUAGCUUACUCGUUUACGCUAUUUUACCUACGCUUAGGAUGUUGAACGCGCACAGAGUCUC
rnacentral:rRNA from 1 species